rnacentral:pre_miRNA from 1 species
AGGAGCAACAGCCCCAGUGGCGGGGCCGCUCUGGAAACCUGGAUUCAGCUCCGGCAGGAACUCCAGAGCUCUCCGUCUACAUGCUCCGGGGCGGG